CUCGUAGGCGGCCAACUAAGUCAGACGUGAAAUCCCCAGGCUUAACCUGGGAACUGCGUCUGAUACUGGAUGGCUUGAGAUUGGGAGAGGGAUGCGGAAUUCCAGGUGUAGCGGUGAAAUGCGUAGAUAUCUGGAGGAACACCGGUGGCGAAGGCGACAUCCUGGACCAACACUGACGCUGAGGAGCGAAAGCCAGGGGAGCAAACG
rnacentral:rRNA from 1 species